rnacentral:rRNA from 1 species
UACGUAGGUGGCAAGCGUUGUCCGGAUUUACUGGGCGUAAAGAGCGCGCAGGCGGUCGGAUCAGUCGAAUGUGAAAGCCCCCGGCUCAACUGGGGAGGGUCAUUCGAUACUGUCCGACUCGAAGGCAGGAGAGGGAAGCGGAAUUCCCGGUGUAGUGGUGAAAUGCGUAGAUAUCGGGAGGAACACCAGUGGCGAAGGCGGCUUACUGGUCCGGUACUGACGCUGAGGUGCGAAAGCGUGGGGAGCAAACAGG